AAGGGUUGUGUCGCAGUCAUACCGGUCCGCGUGAAAAACUGGGCUCAAAUGUGUGCAGAGCUCAGCUCACGAUACAUCUGUGAGAAACCCCAAAGAGGACGGAAGUAAAUAACUCGCCGAGCAGCAGCAGCAGAUGUGUCCGCUGCUAGAGAGCUUUGUCUGUCUCAUCUUCGCCGGACCCCCGCUGGACCCACUCAAAUGGUUCCUGCCUAUGUUUGGUGCGGAUUAGAAGAAGAACCUUCUCAAGAUUAAAGGCCUGAUUUGGACCAGCAGGACCCAGAUCCUCUUAUCAUAAAGUGGAAGAGAAGACCUUUUUAACCAGUCUGAUGGGAGACAAACUCAAAAUGGAGGAGACCAAUAUCAGAUUUUUGGUCACUGCAGUUUCUGUAAAAAGUGACGAAGACAAAGAAAAACUUACCAGGAACACAGAUUUGAAGACUCACAAUGACGGUUUCA